rnacentral:rRNA from 1 species
GACGUAGGGCGCGAGCGUUGUCCGGAUUUAUUGGGCGUAAAGAGCUCGUAGGCGGCUCGUUGCGUCGGCUGUGAAAACCCGCAGCUCAACUGUGGGCUUGCAGCUGAUACGGGCGGGCUGGGAUUCGGUAGGGGAGACUGGAAUUCCUGGUGUAGCGGUGAAAUGCGCAGAUAUCAGGAGGAACACCGGUGGCGAAGGCGGGUCUCCGGGCCGAUAUCGACGCUGAGGAGCGAAAGCGUGGGGAGCGAACAGG